rnacentral:rRNA from 1 species
CACGAAGCCGGAGUUGCUAGUAAUCGCGAAUCAGAAUGUCGCGGUGAAUGCGUUCCCGGGUCUUGUACACACCGCCCGUCACACCAUGGAAGUUGGGGGUGCCCAAAGCCGGCAAGCAAAUAUGCUGUCUAAGGCAAAACCAAUGACUGGGGUGAAGUCGUAACAAGGUAGC